GCCCGCAUGGCUCAGCGGUAGAGCGUAUCACUAGUACUGAUUUCGGUCUUUCCAUGAUAAGAUCCUCGGUUCAACCCCGAGUGGGGGCA